rnacentral:rRNA from 1 species
CAGUAAAUGUGGAGCCGUAGCGAAAGCGAGUCUGAAUAGGGCGUUUAGUAUUUGGUCGUAGACCCGAAACCAGGUGAUCUACCCUUGGUCAGGUUGAAGUUCAGGUAACACUGAAUGGAGGACCGAACCGACUUACGUUGAAAAGUGAGCGGAUGAACUGAGGGUAGCGGAGAAAUUCCAAUCGAACCUGGAGAUAGCUGGUUCUCUCCGAAAUAGCUUUAGGGCUAGCCUCAAGUGAUGAUUAUUGGAGGUAGAGCACUGUUUGGACGAGGGGCCCCUCUCGGGUUACCGAAUUCAGACAAACUCCGAAUGCCAAUUAAUUUAACUUGGGAGUCAGAACAUGGGUGAUAAGGUCCGUGUUCGAAAGGGAAACAGCCCAGACCACCAGCUAAGGUCCCAAAAUAUAUGUUAAGUGGAAAAGGAUGUGGCGUUGCCCAGACAACUAGGAUGUUGGCUUAGAAGCAGCCAUCAUUUAAAGAGUGCGUAAUAGCUCACUAGUCGAGUGACACUGCGCCGAAAAUGUACCGGGGCUAAACAUAUUACCGAAGCUGUGGAUUGUCCUUUGGACAAUGGUAGGAGAGCGUUCU